AUGUCAAACUCAAAGGCUAACACGGGCCAAAUAAACAAGGCUUAAGUAUGUGGACCACAAAAAAUCAGAAGCUGCCGAAACCGGUUUGGCUCAGUGG